GACGAACGCUGGCGGCGUGCUUAACACAUGCAAGUCGAACGGAAAGGCCCUGCUCUUGCGGGGUGCUCGAGUGGCGAACGGGUGAGUAACACGUGAGUAACCUGCCCUUGACUUUGGGAUAACUUCAGGAAACUGGGGCUAAUACCGGAUAGGAGCUCCUGCUGCAUGGUGGGGGUUGGAAAGUUUCGGCGGUUGUGGCUGGACUCGCUGCUUAUGAGCUUGUUGGUCUGGUAGGUGCUUACCAAGGUUUUGACGGAUAGCCGGCAUGAGAGGGUGACCGGCGACCAGGGGACUACGAGACGGAGCAGACGCCAACGGGACGCAGCGGUCGGGAAUAUUACACAGUGAGCGGAAGCCUGAGGCAGCAGCGCCGCGUGCGGGAUGCCGGCCUUCGAGUUGUGAACAGAUUUCGCAUGUAACAAAGCGUGAGUGACGGUACUGGGUAAAGAAGCACCGGCUAACUACGUG
rnacentral:rRNA from 1 species